rnacentral:rRNA from 1 species
UACAGAGGUCUCAAGCGUUGUUCGGAUUCAUUGGGCGUAAAGGGGGCGUAGGUGGCGCGGUAAGUCGGGUGUGAAAUCUCGGAGCUUAACUCCGAAAUUGCAUUCGAUACUGCCGUGCUUGAGGACUGGAGAGGAGACUGGAAUUCAUGGUGUAGCAGUGAAAUGCGUAGAGAUCAUGAGGAAGACCAGUGGCGAAGGCGGGUCUCUGGACAGUUCCUGACACUGAGGCACGAAGGCCAGGGGAGCAAACGGG